rnacentral:rRNA from 1 species
AGAGUGAACGCUGGCGGUAGGCCUAACACAUGCAAGUCGAACGGCAGCACAGGAGAGCUUGCUCUCUGGGUGGCGAGUGGCGGACGGGUGAGGAAUACAUCGGAAUCUACCUUUUCGUGGGGGAUAACGUAGGGAAACUUACGCUAAUACCGCAUAAGACCUUCGGGUGAAAGCCGGGACCUUCGGGCCUGGCGCGGAUAGAUGAGCCGAUGUCGGAUUAACUUGUUGGCGGGUAAAAGCCCACCAAGGCGACGAUCCGUAGCUGGUCUGAGAGGAUGAUCAGCCACACUGGAACUGAGACACGGUCCAGACUCCUACGGGAGCAGCAGUGGGGAAUAUUGGACAAUGGGCGCAAGCCUGAUCCAGCCAUACCGCGUGGUGAAGAAGGCCUUGGUGUAAGACCUUGUGUAAGAAUACUGACGUAAUAACAGAAGGAUGACGUAACC